GACGAACGCUGGCGGCGUGCUUAACACAUGCCAGUCGAACGGAAGGGCCCUGCUUUUGUGGGGUGCUCGAGUGGCGAACGGGUGAGUAACACGUGAGUAACCUGCCCUUGACUUUGGGAUAACUUCAGGAAACUGGGGCUAAUACCGGAUAGGAGCUCCUGCUGCAUGGUGGGGGUUGGAAAGUUUCGGCGGUUGGGGAUGGACUCGCGGCUUGUCAGCUUGUUGGUGGGGUAGUGGCUUACCAAGGCUUUGACGGGUAGCCGGCCUGAGAGGGUGACCGGCCACAUUGGGACUGAGAUACGGCCCAGACUCCUACGGGAGGCAGCAGUGGGGAAUAUUGCACAAUGGGCGGAAGCCUGAUGCAGCAACGCCGCGUGCGGGAUGACGGCCUUCGGGUUGUAAACCGCUUUCGCCUGUGACGAAGCGUGAGUGACGGUAAUGGGUAAAGAAGCACCGGCUAACUACGUG
rnacentral:rRNA from 1 species